rnacentral:rRNA from 1 species
GUCGAUGGUCAUGCCACCCUGAACGUGCCCAAUCUCGUUGAUCUCAGAAGCUAAACAGGGUUGGGCCUGGUUAGUACUUGAAUGGGAGACCACCUAGGAAUACUGGGUGCUGUAGGCA